UCGCGCUCUCUCUAUCUCACCAAAACCCUCUCAAUCGCGCUCUCUCUACUCUCGGUAUUGCUCUCACGAAAUCGCUCUCACCCACAACAACUCAUACUGAAACAAAAACAGGAAGCUCACCUUGCUCAGCUUAGGGUUUCGAAUUUGGUCCUUGGAUUCAAAAGAGGCGUUCCUGCAAAACACUUUUUUGAUGCUCAGAAUUUGGUCCAUCUCGUUUGAUACUUGGAUCUGGAACAGUGAAUUUCUCUUGUCAGAAAACUCAGUUGGUUUGUGAAUGAGGACUCAAAAGGUCGAUGGUUCUUUGGCUGUAGCAGACUUUGAUGUCCACUGAAUCCACUUCAUGGGACAAAUUGUUCAUGGCCUGUGAUGUGCUCAGUUUUUUAAUUCACUGGCUUUAUCGCCUGAUACAACGCCAGAUGAAGUCGGUAAAUUAUAAGUUGGAUCCCUGCCCAGAAGACCUAAAACAAACCGGAACAGGAGAUGACAUUAUUGCCUGUUCCUUUCCCCUACGCCGAGAGGUCCCAGCUCCAGUUUGUGACUUUCCAAUUUGCCCUUUACUUUGCAUAUGUGCAGAUGGAUAACUGGGAGCAGUUUGAGCCAGAGUAGUAACAGAGGGCAAAGGAAGCGGUAACUGUGAAUUCAAAACAACCCCAGCGCCCAAAUUAGUGUUUCCACUAUUUGAAGCGGAACCUGAAAUGGUAGUUGGAUUAUGUUCACACUGAUUUUGCUGCAGGAAAAUCCAAUGAUCAUGGUUUGGCUUCAACCUUCACAUGCA